GCGGCCGUGGACCAUGGCGGUCAUCCCCUCUCUGUGUUAUUUGAGCGCGUGAACUCUAAUUUAGAGUAAGUUGUUGGAGGUUCGAAUCCUCCCGGCCGCU